UACUUAUCCAGAGCGGCGGAGGGACUGGCCCAAUGAAACUCGGGAAACCAGCAGAAUCACUAUGUUGCUCAUUCCAGGAACACAUGGUUGUGUUCAAAAGAUGGGGA
rnacentral:ncRNA from 1 species